AUAAUCAAUUGGCUUAUAAUUGAAGUCUGGCAUGAAAGGGAAUUCGGGGUGUUACUAUCUUAAAAUAAUUAACCGAAAUUACUUAAUAAGUGAAAAUUCUUAUAAAAAAAAAAUAGACGAGAAGACCCUAGAAAUUUUUAUAAAAAUUAACUUUUUUUUUGUUGGGGCGACAUGAUUACAAAAAACUUAUCUAAAUAUUUAGGAAAUUUAUAAAUAGCAUAAUUAAAUUACUCUAGGGAUAACAGCAUAAUAUUGAAAAGUUUGUGACCUCGAUGUUGGACUAGGAAAUGUAUUAUCUAAAAGGUAAUAUAAUUGGCUCUGUUCGCGCUAUAAUAUCCUACAU
rnacentral:rRNA from 1 species